rnacentral:rRNA from 1 species
GACAGAGGUCCCGAGCGUUAGGCGGAAUCACUGGGCUUAAAGCGUGUGUAGGCGGAUUUGUAAGUACCUUGUGAAAUCCCACAGCUUAACUGUGGAACUGCUUGGUAUACUGCUUAUCUUGGGCCACUUAGGGGUUACCGGAACAAACGGUGGAGCGGUGAAAUGCGUAGAUAUCGUUUGGAACACCAAUGGUGAAAACAGGUAACUGGGAGUGUGCCGACGCUGAGACACGAAAGCCAGGGGAGCGAACGGG